AUUGCACGCUGGCGGCAGGCCUAACACAUGCAAGUCGGGCGAGCGGCGGACGGGUGAUUAAUGUAUGGGGAUCUGCCUGCUGGAGGGGGAUAACUACUGGAAACGGUAGCUACUCCCGCGUACCCUAGGAUGAGCCCAAGUGGGAUUAGGUAGUUGGUGAGGUAAAGGCUCACCAAGCCGACGAUCUAUAGCUGGUAUGAGUGGAUGACCAGCCACCCUGGGACUGAGACACGGCCCAGACUCCUACGGGAGGCAGCAGUGGGGAAUAUUGCGCAAUGGGGGCAACCUGACGCAGCCAUGCCGCGUGAAUGAAGAAGGCCUUCGGGUUGUAAAGUUCUUUCGGUAGCGAGGCGUUAACUACAGAAGAAGCACCGGCUAACUCCGUGCCAGCAGCCGCGGUAAUAC
rnacentral:rRNA from 1 species